CCUACGGGGGGCAGCAGCGGGGAAUAUUGGACAAUGGGGGCAACCCUGAUCCAGCCAUGCCGCGUGUGUGAAGAAGGCCCUCGGGUUGUAAAGCACUUUCAGUGAGGAAGAACGCCUGGUGGUUAAUACCCAUCAGGAAAGACAUCACUCACAGAAGAAGCACCGGCUAACUCCGUGCCAGCAGCCGCGGUAAUACGGAGGGUGCGAGCGUUAAUCGGAAUUACUGGGCGUAAAGCGCGCGUAGGUGGCUUGAUAAGCCGGUUGUGAAAGCCCCGGGCUCAACCUGGGAACGGCAUCCGGAACUGUCAAGCUAGAGUGCAGGAGAGGAAGGUAGAAUUCCCGGUGUAGCGGUGAAAUGCGUAGAGAUCGGGAGGAAUACCAGUGGCGAAGGCGGCCUUCUGGACUGACACUGACACUGAGGUGCGAAAGCGUGGGUAGCAAACAGGAUUAGAUACCCCAGUAGUC
rnacentral:rRNA from 1 species